rnacentral:lncRNA from 1 species
ACCAGAAGUGCGUCCUCUACCCCGUCUACCUCUGGCGCGAGCAGGAGAGCGAGAUGAACUAGGAGGCUGAGAACGCUGCGAGGCCAAGGACUGGACAGAAAGAGUGAGUCUGAUGGAAUCAAGUACGUUCAGUGCUCUGGAAACAGACUGAAGUAGAGCAGUGAACUGAGUGGAUGCAUGCUCACUCGAUCUUCGGAUCUCUCUCCUCAGUAACUCAUAUCCACCCUCUAGUGCACCUCU